rnacentral:rRNA from 1 species
AGUGAACGCUGGCGGUAGGCCUAACACAUGCAAGUCGAACGGCAGCACAGUAAGAGCUUGCUCUUACGGGUGGCGAGUGGCGGACGGGUGAGGUAUACAUCGGACUCUACUUUUUCGUGGGGGAUAACGUAGGGAAACUUACUCUAAUACCGCAUACGACCUACGGGUGAAAGCAGGGGAUCUUCGGACCUUGCGCGAUUGAAUGAGCCGAUGUCGGAUUAGCUAGUUGGCGGGGUAAAGGCCCACCAAGGCGACGAUCCGUAGCUGGUCUGAGAGGAUGAUCAGCCACACUGGAACUGAGACACGGUCCAGACUCCUACGGGAGGCAGCAGUGGGGAAUAUUGGACAAUGGGCGCAAGCCUGAUCCAGCCAUACCGCGUGGGUGAAGAAGGCCUUCGGGUUGUAAAGCCCUUUUGUUGGGAAAGAAAAGCAGCAGGUUAAUACCCCGCUGUUCUGACGGUACCCAAAGAAGAAGCACCGGCUAACUUCGUG